UACGGGGGGGGCAAGCGUUGUUCGGAAUUACUGGGCGUAAAGGGCGCGUAGGCGGCGUGACAAGUCACUUGUGAAAUCUCCGGGCUUAACUCGGAACGGUCAAGUGAUACUGUCGUGCUAGAGUACAGAAGGGGCAACUGGAAUUCUCGGUGUAGCGGUGAAAUGCGCAGAUAUCAGGAGGAACACCGAUGGCGAAGGCAGAUCUCUGGGCCGUAACUGACGCUGAGGAGCGAAAGCAUGGGGAGCGAACAGG
rnacentral:rRNA from 1 species